rnacentral:rRNA from 1 species
AACGAACGCUGGCGGCAUGCCUAACACAUGCAAGUCGAACGAGACCUUCGGGUCUAGUGGCGCACGGGUGCGUAACGCGUGGGAACCUGCCCUUAGGUUCGGAAUAACUCCCCGAAAGGGGUGCUAAUACCGGAUAAUGUCUUCGGACCAAAGGUUUAUCGCCUUUGGAUGGGCCCGCGUUGGAUUAGCUAGUUGGUAGGGUAAAAGCCUACCAAGGCGACGAUCCAUAGCUGGUCUGAGAGGAUGAUCAGCCACACUGGGACUGAGACACGGCCGAGACUCCUACGGGAGGAAGCAGUGGGGAAUAUUGGACAAUGGGCGAAAGCCUGAUCCAGCAAUGCCGCGUGAGUGAUGAAGGCCUUAGGGUUGUAAAGCUCUUUUACCCGGGAUGAUAAUGACAGUACCGGGAGAAUAAGCUCCGGCUAACUCCGUG